GGAGAGGUGACCGAGUGGCCUAAGGUGGCGGUCUUGAAAACCGCUGUACCGCAAGGUACCGGGGGUUCGAAUCCCUCCCUCUCCG
rnacentral:tRNA from 1 species